rnacentral:rRNA from 1 species
CAGUCGCCGCGGUAAUACGUAGGUGGCAAGCGUUGUCCGGAAUUAUUGGGCGUAAAGGGCUCGCAGGCGGUUUCUUAAGUCUGAUGUGAAAGCCCCCGGCUCAACCGGGGAGGGUCAUUGGAAACUGGGAAACUUGAGUGCAGAAGAGGAGAGUGGAAUUCCACGUGUAGCGGUGAAAUGCGUAGAGAUGUGGAGGAACACCAGUGGCGAAGGCGACUCUCUGGUCUGUAACUGACGCUGAGGAGCGAAAGCGUGGGGAGCGAACAGGAUUAGAGACCCCAGUAGUCCCUGUCUCUUAUAC